AUACGGAGGAUGCAAGCGUUAUCCGGAUUUAUUGGGUUUAAAGGGUGCGUAGGCGGGACUGUAAGUCAGGGGUGAAAUACUGCGGCUUAACUGUAGCAUUGCCUUUGAAACUGUGGUUCUUGAGUACAGUUGAGGUAGGCGGAAUGUGGUGUGUAGCGGUGAAAUGCAUAGAUAUACCACAGAACGCCGAUUGCGAAGGCAGCUUACUAAGCUGUUACUGACGCUGAGGCACGAAAGCGUGGGGAUCAAACAGGAUUAGAUACCCUGGUAGUCCACGCUGUAAACGAUGAUUACUGGUUGUUAGCGAUAUAUAGCUAGUGACUGAGCGAAAGCAUUAAGUAAUCCACCUGGGGAGUACGUCGGCAACGAUGAAACUCAAAGGAAUUGACGGGG
rnacentral:rRNA from 1 species